AGUGACAGACGCUCUACCAGGGACAAGACAGGUUGCAUUUACAGCAUCAGUGGUCAGGGGAAUGAGCUCUGAGUGCCUCGCGAUAUCAAACCAGAAGAUCUGACAUCAAAGAGCAAAUGAUACAAUUAUUAGGAGAACUCCAACCAAACCUACUCACUAAUCAAGUUCAUAUCAUUUGGAUCUUUGAUUUACAGACUGGCUCCUCUAGCUGCUGCACCCAUGGGUGUGAAGGUUCUCCAGUGUUUUCCCUGGUACAGGAGGUGUAAAGACAGGGGCAAGGGCAGACACUGCCCCCCUAAAGCGGUUCCAUGCAUUGAGACGGAGCCCCAGUUUGCCCCGACAACCUAUGCCAGUGAUGGUGCUGGAGGUGGAGUUGUCUACUUUUCCCACAAGGCAAGAGUGGCCUACAGACAUCAGAUGGAAGGCAACGUUAUAGAUACCACCUACUGACCCCCAGCCUCAGCCUCCAGCCCCUGCUGCAGAAACACCCCUCAAAGAUUGUCUGCUCAGAAUCCUCUGUCUCACAACAGACUAUAUCCCAGUUCUUCAAUGAUCUUGUUUGUAGAUGAGGUGCUCAGUUCAUCUCAAUGUUAGAGGUAGUUGCUUGACUGAAGAUGGAGGCUGAGUAGCACUUUUGAGAACUGUCUGAUAGACAUAAGAACAUUUUUGACAGAAUUGGGAGAAAACACUUUUGUAGAUAAGGGUAAAGAAACGUUGUUUACACUAAAGUGCAUUCUUCUUGUUUUAUCAUUUGUCACUUUAUUUAUUGUUCUAGGGUCAAUGUUGAGUAUUUAUUGUUCUAGGGUCAACAUUGUGUAUUUAUUGUUCUAGGGUCAAUGUUUUGCAUCUAAAUGACGUUUUGUAGUGGUCCAUUUGCUGUAAAAUCCCAUCUAGCAACUGAUGUUGUAGACUAGCCAUAACUACUACACGGCUAUACGAUGAAUGUUAUAAUUGUACAACUGUCAAUUAUUUGUCACUUUAUAUUCUAUUUGUGUUGUUUCUAUGAAAUAAUCAACAAGACUAAUGUUACAUUACUAAUAAUGUAACAAGUCUAUUUUAAAAUAGUGUUGAAUAGCUGCAAAUUAAUUGUCUUGCAGUUUGAUUAUGUAACCUUUCUACAGUGUCAGUCUAGUUCGGUCCAUGUUCACUGUUAUCCUAUCACAGCCUUUGAAUAGUUUUAUGAGUAAGACUGUAUUUUGGUAACAUUGGAAUGUACUCAACAAGCAGGCCUUCAUGAGUAAGGGAUCAUCACCGAGGGGCUAUGCGUUCUAUGGACAAUAAUGAACAACAUGGAAGGUGUGUUCCAAGACGCGCUAGCAGAGUGGAACUAACCUUCCACGGAGUUGCAUUAUUUUCCAGAGAACACAGAGCCCUGA